rnacentral:pre_miRNA from 1 species
UGGACAGAUUAUUGUAUUCAGAUGUAUUCACAGCGUGAAAUAGGGGAUUACAUUGUUUUUAAACGGAAAGUGAAUCAAUUAACAUAAUAGACUCCU